AAUAAAACCACUAAGUUCAAGAAAGGCAAGGGUAAGAAAAACUUCAAGAAGGACGGCAAGGGAGUUGCCGCGCCCGGCAAGCAAGCUGCCGGGAAGAAGCCAAAGAAUGGACCCAAGCCCGAGACUGAGUGCUUUUAUUGCAAGGAAAGUGGUCACUGGAAGUGGAACUGCCCCAAAUACUUAGCGGACAAGAAGGCCGGCAAAAGGAAAGGUAUAUGUGAUAUACAUGUAAUUGAUGUGUACCUUACCAGUACUCGUAGUAGCUCCUGGGUAUUUCAUACCUGUGCAGUUGCUCACAUU
rnacentral:rRNA from 1 species